UUUUUUUUUACCAAGAUCUGACAGCCGUUGUGGAAAGUUACGUUCGUGAGAUUGGAUGCUUAACAAUGAGAAUCUUAAUUGUUUAAGUAUAUUUACCAGCGGCUGUUGGGUGUAGCUUAAGAUGAUUAGAAUUUUUUAUUAUUUCUAAAAGUGAGUUAAAAAAGCACUCAGAUACAAUAUUGCAGGUAUUUAUAUUUUAACUCUACCUUUGUAUAAGUG